AUUACAUCGAUAUAUAUAUAUCAUUUGCUUAAUAGUGGUGGGAGAUGGGGUUCUCUUCUGUCAUUGGUUUUAUGAUGAUGAUCAUUCUUAUUAUAGCAGCAAAUAACUAUUUUAUCACUGGAGAUCUGAGGUCGAGUGCGAAAGUAAGGCCACCUACACGUCCACCUGCACCGGUAAAUAACCAAAUGCGUGCACAAGUAACACCACCUACACCAACACCUGGUUCAGAUUCAAGAUAGCUAGGCCAUUACUAGUCCAAUCAAGUUAUUUGAAUUUGGCCAUUGUUGUAUCUUAUACAUUAUGUCAUCUUCAUUCAUGUUGUGAAAUCUUCUAGUAGUAGCAGCAAUGCCUUUUGUUUGUUGUAAUAACCCACUUUUCUUUGGAAAUUAGUUGUAAUCUGUUACAGAGUUGUUAAUUCUCUGCUUAUAAAUACAAUCAUUUACUCUUGUGAUUCUCA